UUCGCAAUGCCCGAAAGGGUGACGAAGCGACGCCGCGUGCGGGAAGAAGGCCUUCGGGUUGUAAACCGCUGUCGGGAGUUAAGAAAUGUAAGGAUGUUAAUAGCAUCUUUGCUUGACUAAGGCUCCGGAGGAAGCCACGGCUAACUCUGUGCCAGCAGCCGCGGUAAUACAGAGGCGGCAAGCGUUGUUCGGAAUUAUUGGGCGUAAAGAGCACGUAGGCGGCUAUGUAAGUCGGUUGUGAAAGCCUUCCGCUCAACGGGAGAACAGCAUCCGAUACUGCAUGGCUUGAGUGCGGGAGGGGAGAGUGGAACUUCUGGUGGAACGGUGAAAUGCGUAGAUAUCAGAAGGAACGCCGGCGGCGAAAGCGGCUCUCUGGCCCAUAACUGACGCUGAGUGUGCGAAAGCUAGGGGAGCAAACGGGAUUAGAUACCCCGGUAGUCCUAGCCGUAAAC
rnacentral:rRNA from 1 species